rnacentral:rRNA from 1 species
UACAGAGGUCUCAACCGUUGUUCGGAUUCAUUGGGCGUAAAGGGUGCGUAGGCGGCGGGGUAAGUCAGGUGUGAAAUCUCGGGGCUCAACCCCGAAACUGCACUUGAUACUGCCUCGCUUGAGUACUGGAGAGGAGACUGGAAUUUACGGUGUAGCAGUGAAAUGCGUAGAUAUCGUAAGGAAGACCAGUGGCGAAGGCGAGUCUCUGGACGGUUUCUGACGCUAAGACGCGAAAGCGUGGGGAGCAAACAGG